GGUGCUUGCACCUGAUUGAUUUUGGUCGCCAACGAGUGGCGGACAGGGUGAGUAACACGUAGGUAACCUGCCCAGAAGCGGGGGACAACAUUUGGAAACAGAUGCUAAUACCGCAUAACAGCGUUGUUCGCAUGAACAACGCUUAAAAGAUGGCUUCUCGCUAUCACUUCUGGAUGGACCUGCGGUGCAUUAGCUUGUUGGUGGGGUAACGGCCUACCAAGGCGAUAAUGCAUAGCCGAGUUGAGAGACUGAUCAGCCACAAUGGGACUGAGACACGGCCCAUACUCCUACGGGAGGCAGCAGUAGGGAAUCUUCCACAAUGGGCGCAAGCCAGAUGGAGCAACACCGCGUGAGUGAAGAAGGGUUUCGGCUCGUAAAGCUCUGUUGGGGGGGGAAGAACACGCUAUGAGAGUAACUGUUCAUACGUUGACGGUAUUUAACCAGAAAGUCACGGCUAACUACGUGCCAGCAGCCGCGGUAAUACGUAGGUGGCAAGCGUUAUCCGGAUUUAUUGGGCGUAAAGAGAGUGCAGGCGGUUUUCUAAGUCUGAUGUGAAAGCCUUCGGCUUAACCGGAGAAGUGCAUCGGAAACUGGAUAACUUGAGUGCAGAAGAGGGUAGUGGAACUCCAUGUGUAGCGGUGGAAUGCG
rnacentral:rRNA from 2 species